rnacentral:rRNA from 1 species
GACGGAGGAUGCAAGCGUUAUCCGGAAUGAUUGGGCGUAAAGCGUCCGCAGGUGGCAGUUCAAGUCUGCUGUCAAAGACCGGGGCUUAACUUCGGAAAGGCAGUGGAAACUGAACAGCUAGAGUAUGGUAGGGGCAGAGGGAAUUCCUGGUGUAGCGGGUGAAAUGCGUAGAGAUCAGGAAGAACAUCGGUGGCGAAGGCGCUCUGCUGGACCAUAACUGACACUCAGGGACGAAAGCCAGGGGAGCAAACGGG